rnacentral:rRNA from 1 species
UACGAAGGGGGCUAGCGUUGUUCGGAAUUACUGGGCGUAAAGGGCGCGUAGGCGGUGUGUCAAGUCAGGCGUGAAAGCCCCGGGCUCAACCUGGGAACCGCGCUUGAGACUGGCACACUAGAGUUCGGGAGAGGAUGGUGGAAUUCCCAGUGUAGAGGUGAAAUUCGUAGAUAUUGGGAAGAACACCGAUGGCGAAGGCAGCCAUCUGGACCGACACUGACGCUGAGGUGCGAAAGCGUGGGGAGCAAACAGGG